rnacentral:rRNA from 1 species
AUUGAACGCUGGCGGCAUGCCUUACACAUGCAAGUCGAACGGUAACAGGUCUUCGGAUGCUGACGAGUGGCGAACGGGUGAGUAAUACAUCGGAACGUGCCUAGUAGUGGGGGAUGACUACUCGAAAGAGUGGCUAAUACCGCAUGAGAUCUACGGAUGAAAGCAGGGGAUCGCAAGACCUUGUGCUACUAGAGCGGCCGAUGGCAGAUUAGGUAGUUGGUGGGAUAAAAGCUUACCAAGCCGACGAUCUGUAGCUGGUCUGAGAGGACGAUCAGCCACACUGGGACUGAGACACGGCCCAGACUCCUACGGGAGGCAGCAGUGGGGAAUUUUGGACAAUGGGCGCAAGCCUGAUCCAGCAAUGCCGCGUGCAGGAUGAAGGCCUUCGGGUUGUAAACUGCUUCUGUACGGAACGAAAAGCCCCGGGUUAAUACCCUGGGGUCAUGACGGUACCGUAAGAAUAAGCACCGGCUAACUACGUGCCAGCCGCCGCCGUAA